rnacentral:tRNA from 1 species
CGGGCUACAACUGGGUCAAAAAAUGCCUCUGACCUGCUAUGUAUAGUAAGGAUACUCCGCUUUGGGAGCGGAGGGUCGCAGGUUCAAAUCCUGUCACCCCGACCA